rnacentral:rRNA from 1 species
UACAGAGGUCUCAAGCGUUGUCCGGAAUCACUGGGCGUAAAGGGCGCGUAGGCGGCCUGAUAAGUAGGGGGUGAAAUCCUGCGGCUUAACCGCAGGGCUGCCUUCUAAACUGUCAGGCUCGAGCACAGUAGAGGCAGGUGGAAUUCCCGGUGUAGCGGUGGAAUGCGUAGAGAUCGGGAAGAACAUCAGUGGCGAAGGCGGCCUGCUGGGCUGUUGCUGACGCUGAGGCGCGACAGCGUGGGGAGCAAACAGG